AGGAAAUAAAGAGGCAUGUUCUGAGUUAGAGGCAGGGUCAGGCGAUUCAACCAGACUUAGAGUGAGAAAGGACAGGAUUACAGAUUUUUGCGUGUUCUAUUUUUUCAAUAGUGCCAGAUUUGGCUUCCAAUACUCAGAUAUUCAGGGGCAGGGUUAUUUCCAAGUAGAGAAGGUAUCUCAAGAUUUCUUCAGUCCCCGAGUCACAGUAUCUCUUCUGUUUGCAUAACCAAAGACAGAGAGAUCAUCAGACAUAAAUUCUGUACAG